GAUGAAGAACGUAGCGAAAUGCGAUAAGUAAUGUGAAUUGCAGAAUUCAGUGAAUCAUCGAAUCUUUGAACGCACAUUGCGCCCGCCAGCAUUCUGGCGGGCAUGCCUGUUCGAGCGUCAUUUCAACCCUCGCGCCCCCCGGGGCUGCGGUGUUGGGGACCGGCCGCCCUCCGGGGCGCCGCCGCCCCCCAAAUACAGUGGCGGCCUCGCCGCUGCCUCCCCUGCGUAGUAGCACAACUCGCACCGGAGCGCGGCGCGGCCACGCCGUAAAACCCCCGACCCCCAUGAGUUUGACCUCGGAUCAGGUAGGAAUACCCGCUGAACUUAAGAAUAUCAAUAAGCGGAGGA
rnacentral:misc_RNA from 1 species